rnacentral:rRNA from 1 species
AUACGGAGGAUGCGAGCGUUAUCCGGAUUUAUUGGGUUUAAAGGGAGCGUAGGUGGGAUAUUAAGUCAGCUGUGAAAGUUUGGGGCUCAACCUUAAAAUUGCAGUUGAUACUGGUUUCCUUGAGUACGGUACAGGUGGGCGGAAUUCGUGGUGUAGCGGUGAAAUGCAUAGAUAUGACGAAGAACACCGAUUGCGUAGGCAGCUGACCAGACCGCAAAUGACGCUCAUGCACGAAAGUGCGGGGAUCGAACAGGAUUAGAUACCCUGGUAGUCCGCACAGUAAACGAUGAAUACUUGUUUUCGGCGAUAUAAUGUCGGAGGCAAAGCGAAAGCGAUAAGUAUUCCACCUGGGGAGUACGCCGGCAACGGUGAAACUCAAAUGAAUUGACGGGG